rnacentral:lncRNA from 1 species
GCACAUGUAUGUGCUUAUGUGUGUCACUUUAAAGUUACAUUUUUGCAGGAGUCACAACUAAUUCUGAAAUAAUCAAAUAAAUUGUACAAAAAUGACUGACAGCUUAAAGAAUGUGGCUUCAUGAUCUCUGAACUAUUAAAUGCAUGGAAGUUUAGUAAGAUAAAUGUAUAUGAUAUACAUACCAGUGCUGAGCAAACACCAAAGACAUAUACUCAUGUAACAUUUCUUGAAGUUAGAAAUGAAUAUAUUUAUAUCUUAAGUACUCUUUGUUCUGUUGAAUGAAAGCUGAGCUUUGAAGGAAUUGACGUAGAUUCUUCUGAAUGUUAGUCUUUGCAUGAUCAAAGGCAACUUUUUGAUAACUCUCAUUCCUGAUAUAUAAAUGCAAGUUAUGAUUAACAGUUUUGCAAUCAUUGCACAAAAAGUAAGGAAAAAUUAUUAGUCUCAUUGACUUACCCAACCAUGAUUUUCUUGAAAUUGCAUUAUCUCCAAGAAUCCUUCCUUAAAAAAAAAAAAAAAAGAAAAGAAAACAAUUUUAUUUAGGGAUCCAUUGAAGCACAUGAAGUAUGUGACAAUCUCAGGGUACUAGAAAUUCAAGAUGAGGAGAAUGUUGUUAGAGUUCAUAGUUUGACGGGUAUUGAAGUCUGAUCAUGUGAAAAGCUCGUGGAAGCAAACAAAGGACAUGUUCUCCAAUUGCAAGAAAUGUGCGACCAUGAGGUUCUGAAGAGCCUCAGCUAGGAGAAACCAGAAAACGUAUAACGUGACAACAAGAAAUGACCCCAGGUAUCAUGGUUGAUUGUGUACUUGCCAGAAUCUAGGUUCUGCUUGGAAUGGAGCUCCUGAAAAUAUCUGUAAAGGAUUUUAUAAAGAAGGGUUAGUCUUUGUGCUUAUCUGGAGGGAUUAUCUAUACUGGUUAAUUAGUGUGGGCUAGCUCACUAAAUUUUUAAUUAGAUAUUUUCUUAAUUUACAUUUCAAAUGCUAUUCCCUUUCCUGGUUUUCCCUUUCAGCCCCCUUCCCCAUUCCACCACCACCGCUCCUGAUCACCAACCCACCCACUCCUGUUUUCCUAUCUUGGCAUUCCCCUAUACUGGGGCAUCGAAACUUCACAAGACCAAGGGCCCCUCCUCCCACUGAUGCCCAUCCUCUGCUACAUAUGCGGCUGGAGCCAUGUGUCCCUCCAUAUGUACUCUUUGGUUGGUGGUUUAGUCCCUAGGAGCUCUGAGGGUACUGGUUGGUUCAUAUUGUUCUUCCUCCUAUGGGGCUGAAAAUUAUUUCAGCUCCUUUGGUAUUUUCUCUCUCCUCCAUUGGGGACCUUGUGCUCAGUCCAAUAGGUUGGCUGUAAGCAUUCACCUCUGAGUAUGUCAGGCACUGGUGAAGCCUCUCAGGAGACAGCUAUAUCAGGCUACUAUCAGCAAGUACUUGUUGGCAUCUGCAAUAGUGUCUGGGUUUGGUGACUGUAUAUGGGAUGGAUCCCCAGGUGGGGAAGUCUCUGGAUGAUCUUUCCUUAAAUUUCUGUUCCACACUUUGUCUCUCUAUCCCCUCCAAUGGGUAUUUUGCUCCCCCUUCUAAGAAGGACCAUAGUAUCCAUACUUUGGUCUUCCUUCUUCAUGAGCUUCAUUUGGUCUGUGAAUUAUAUCUUGGGUAUUGUGAGCUUCUGGGCUAUUAUCCACUUAUCAGUGAGUGUGUACUAUGUGCGUUCAUUCGUGAUUGGGUUGCCUCACUCAGGAUGACAUUAAUGGGAGUCACACUGCCCCAUCAUCUGGGUUGUGAAUGGAAAGAGAAGGAAUCAGCAAGCUGAGCCCCAGCCUUUGUCUCCGUCUGAUUCUGGAUAAGAGGUGCAUUUGAUCAGAUUUCCAAGUUUCUGCUUUUAUACUUCCUCUGAGAUGUGAUAUCGAAUACUCAAACUCUGACCCAUAAUAACCUCUUCCUUCUGUGAUUAGACUUUGUUGGGUAUUUUAUAGACAUGACAAGACUAAGGCACAAUCUCUCGAGUAUGACAAUUUAGCAAUUGAGGUUACAUAAUACAUAUAGAACUGAAGAAUCAAAAGCAAAUUUAUUCUCAGACAGUUACUUAGUAGGUUUUUUUAUGUAGACUCAGAUUUUGCAAACCAAAUUUUAUAAGCAAAGUACACUCUUUAAAACUUUGGGAACAAAUAAUGCCUAAAGUAUAUCUGAAAUUCUGAAAACUAAGUAUCCUGCAGAAUCCUUUAUUAAAGAAUGUUUGGCUUCAUGUUAUUCAUGUUGAUUUUAAUCUAAGUAUUUCAGUAUUACAUCACUAAUAACAAUUUUCAGUUAUGCAAACAUGUGCUCUACUACCAGGAAAAAUAAUUAGGAUUUUAUUUUAUUAAUAUUCUUGAUAGUCAAUAUAUGUGCUGUUAUUUUGUUUUGUGGUACUGGUGAGGGAAUUUAAGCCCUUGGAUAUGCUAGGCAAGUGCUCUGCUAUUAUGCUUGAACCUCAGUCCUAAAACAGACAUGGUGUAUUAAAAAUUUGUACUAUGAAUACAUUUUAAAUAUCUAAUACAUUUUAAAUAUUCUACUAAUAUCUUGUUACUUUUAUACUAACAGAGUGCUCUAAAGAUAAUUUUGCAAAACUGAUUCUGAGAACAAUUUAUCCAAGCAUUCUAAGGAUUCUAACAUAGCAAUUCCCUACAACAGAUGCUUGGCUCUUAGCAUUUGUCAUGUUUGUUAGCUCUACCCAAGUAAAACAGGUUGUAAUUUGGUUAGAUUUAUUAAUUAAUUUGAACAUUCUUAAGAAUAUCAUUCUCUUGCUUAGCAUGAGGUUAUCAAUAAAGUAUCAUUUAAUGACCAUUUAAAAUGUGUUUUACUACUUUUAUUUAAUCGUGCAUAUAAUGAAUAAUGCAUGAGGGAAUCAUAUAAAAUCUUUAUAAAAUUAAAAAUGUCUGUAAGAGUUUUAAUAAUAUCUUUAAAAUCCAACAACCAAUAUUUAAAUAAUUAAAAGUGAUGGCUACUAUAGAUUUAAAUGACUGAGAAUUUUUCCUGGAUAUUAAAUCUCUGAAAGCUUAAUAAUGCUUUUUACAAACCCAAGUACACUGUUUAUUCCACAUUAUGCUAGCCACCAUAUUACACUUUAACAAUUGAAAUCUCAUUAUGAUAUUCUAAGCAUACUUCAACAUAUCGGAGGUUAUAUUAAAAAAUAAGAAUUUUCUUCAGAAACAGAAAAUUUAUACGAUUUUGAUUUGUCAAUUUCCCAUACUAGUAAUACUGAUAAUUAAUUCAAAAAAUUAAUUUUGAAUAAAAUAUUUUAAAAUUAUGAUAUUCAACACCAAGAGAGUAGUAGUUUUUCUUAUAAAUAUAAGUAUGCUCUUGAAAAACAUUUAAACAUAUUUCAUUUAAAUCUGUUUCAAAAAUUUUUAACUUAGAGCCAACUGGUUAAAUACUUCUUGUGAGGUCUAACAACCUGACUUCCAUGGCUGUGACCCACAUAAACUUGGAAGGAGAGAACCAAUUCCCAAAAAGUUAGAAGAAGAUAACUCCAACGAAUCAUUACCAUCUGAGUUCCAUGCAUAUACUUUGUCACAUACAUGCACACAGACACACACACACACACACACACACACACACACACACACACACACGUCAAUACACAUAAAUAUAUGUAAUUCGAAAAAUUCUAUUUUAUUAUUAUCUUUAAUAUUUUUGUUACAAUCCAGUCGUUACCCCUGUCCUGUUCUCCUCACUGUCAUCCCAUUCUUCCUUCUCCAUCUCCAAGAGGAUGUCUCCAUCCUACCAAACCCCCAAACCUCCACACCCUGCCAGGCCUACCCAUUUCCUGGGGCCUUAAGUCUCUCAAGGGUUAGGUGAGUCCUCUCUCAUUGAGGCCAGACCAGGCAGUGCUCUGCUGUGUAUUUGUUGGGCCUUGGCCCAGCUAGUGUAUGAUUCCUCAUUUGUGGCUCACUGUCUGAGAGAUCUCAGGGUUCUAGAUUGUUUGACACUGCUGGUCACCCUCCUCUUUAGCUUCUCCCAGCAUUUCCCUACCUUAAUCACAGGGGUACACUGCUUCAGUCCAUAUGUUGAGUUUAAGUAACUACUCCUGUCUCAGUCAGUUGCUUGUUGGGCCUCUAAGAGUGCGGCCAUGUUAGGCUCCUCUCUGCAAGCACACCACAGCAUCAGUAAUAGUGUCAGACCUUGGAGCCUCCCCUUGAGAUGGUUCCCAAUUUGGGCCUGUCAUUGAACCUCCUUUCGCCUAAUCUCUUUUCCAUUUUUGGUUCUGCAGUUCUUCUAGAUAGGGAUAAUUAUGAGUCAGAGUUUUUGGCUCUGGGAUGGCAAGCCUAUCCCUCCACUUGGUGCCCUGUCUUUCUAAGAGAGGUAGACUCUACAAGUUUCCUCUCCCCUCUGUUGGGCAUUUCCUCUAAGGUCACUCUCUUUGAGUCUUGAGAUUCUCUCAUCUCCCAGGACUCUAGUACAUCCUAGAGGUUCCCCCCAUCUCCUACUUCCCAAGGUUGUAUAUUUCCAUUGAUUCCACUAGCCCUCAGGAUUUCACUCCUGGUCCUUUCUGCCCCCAAUACUUAAUCAUGUUCCUCAUUUCCCCUGCCCUGCUCCCUCCCUCUCCCACCCAGUUCCCUCCUUCCUUCUGCCCUUUGGAUUCUUCUCCCUCCCUAGUGGGAUUGAAGCAUUCUCACUUGGGCCCUAUGGUUUGUUUUCCUUUUUGAGUUGUGUUUAGAUUAAUACAUAAGCAUCAAUACUAGAGUUAACUUAAGUCUUUCUCUGUUUAUGUUUAUCCAGUUGAAUUGCACAGAGAUUUACAUUAAAAUUUUCAUUGAUGUACCGAAUAUUUAAAAUUAUUAAACAACAUACAAAAAUUAAAAUAUUUAAUCAAGCUAGCAUUACGAAAUCUAGUUUUAAAAAAAGGUAAUAGCUAAAUAAAUUCUUAAUUAAUAACAGUUGAAUGAAUCAAAUGUUAUACAUAGAAAAUUUAUUUUGAUGAAGUCUAAUAAAAUAUUCAUGUUUAUAUUACAAUAUUCAUAUAUUCCUCAUGUCUAUUUGGCAUUAGUCAUUACUUGAUCAUUGGAUUUUGACAUUAGAUUGAUGUCCCCAGUGUCUGAAUCUACCUAUGAUGUUUCUCUUUCACCUAUGUUUUUUCUGUAAGACACAACUAUUUAUUCCCAUGAAGUGCAGUUUUCUCUGCAUAGUUACACAAUCUAAUUAAACUAGC